rnacentral:rRNA from 1 species
UACAGAGGGGCAAGCGUUAUUCGGAAUUAUUGGGCGUAAAGGGCGCGUAGGCGGCCUGGCAAGUGGAAGGUGAAAUCCCUCGGCUUAACCGAGGAACUGCCUUCCAAACUGCUUGGCUUGAGUCCGGGAGAGGUGAGUGGAAUUCCCAGUGUAGCGGUGAAAUGCGUAGAUAUUGGGAGGAACACCAGUGGCGAAGGCGGCUCACUGGCCCGGUACUGACGCUGAGGCGCGAAAGCGUGGGGAGCAAACAGG